rnacentral:rRNA from 1 species
AAAUUGAAGAGUUUGAUCAUGGCUCAGAUUGAACGCUGGCGGCAGGCCUAACACAUGCAAGUCGAACGGUAACAGGAAGCAGCUUGCUGCUUUGCUGACGAGUGGCGGACGGGUGAGUAAUGUCUGGGAAGCUGCCUGAUGGAGGGGGAUAACUACUGGAAACGGUGGCUAAUACCGCAUAACGUCGCAAGACCAAAGAGGGGGACCUUCGGGCCUCUUGCCAUCAGAUGUGCCCAGAUGGGAUUAGCUUGUUGGUGAGGUAACGGCUCACCAAGGCGACGAUCCCUAGCUGGUCUGAGAGGAUGACCAGCCACACUGGAACUGAGAC